CUUGGUCAUUUAGAGGAAGUAAAAGUCGUAACAAGGUUUCCGUAGACAUAAGUCAAGGAAUAUGAUUCUUCUGUAGUGAAGCUUAUCGAAGCCUUUGCAGCUCUUACAAAGAGUAAAUCCUGCGACUAAAAAUAAUGGGGUCUAAUGCAUAUACAACCGAACUGACGGGGAAGUUCUAAUACCUGCAACACCAACCUGCUUGGGAAACCUGGCAUGGGGCAAGUGCUAACUACACUUGGUAUGGUAAUAGAUUGCAUGGCUGUUAACUGGUAACUGCAGUUAUAAUGAACAAUCCGCAGCGAAGCCUCUAAGUACAGUCAGUAUAUGAGGAACGUUCACAGGCUAAGUGGUUGUAGGUGGAGGUUACUCUCUGCUUAAGAUAUAGUCGGGCCCAUAGUUUUAUGGGGACAAUUUCACUGAUGCAAAAUGGCAAAUGAGAAAACACAAUUUCCGGUGCUGCAUACCUCACAAUCUUCUGUCUUCCAGUUUCUUGUCAUGUACCUAGAAAUUUGCAUUGCUAGAAAUCUUAUACCGUUCCGUAGGUGAACCUGCGGAAGGAUCAUUACUGAGAACCUGCCCUUUAGGGUAGAUCUCCCACCCUAUGUUUAUAUACUUUGUUGCUUUGGCAGGCCUGCCUCUGUGCUACUGGCCUUGGGCUAGUUAGUGCCUGCCAGAGAACCAACACUCUGAAUCAAUUUAUUGUCUGAGUACUAUUUAAUAGUUAAAACUUUCAACAACGGAUCUCUUGGUUCUGGCAUCGAUGAAGAACGCAGCGAAAUGCGAUAAGUAAUGUGAAUUGCAGAAUUCAGUGAAUCAUCGAAUCUUUGAACGCACAUUGCGCCCUCUGGUAUUCCGGGGGGCAUGCCUGUUCGAGCGUCAUUACAACCCUCAAGCUGUGCUUGGUAUUGGGUGUCACUGUAGUGGUGCACCCUAAAAUCAGUGGCGGUGCCACCUGGCUUCUAGUGUAGUAAUACUUCUCACUAUGGAGUAUAGGUGUAUGCUUGCCACCAACCCCUAAUUUUUCAAAGGUUGACCUCGGAUCAGGUAGGGAUACCCGCUGAACUUAAGCAUAUCAAUAAGCGGAGGAAAAGAAACCAACAGGGAUUGCCUUAGUAACGGCGAGUGAAGCGGCAACAGCUCAAAUUUGAAAUCUGGCGUAUGCCCGAAUUGUAAUUUGUAGAGGAUGUUUCGAAUGCGGUCCAGUCUAAGUUCCUUGGAACAGGACGUCAUAGAGGGUGAGAAUCCCGUAUGUGACUGGGUGCCAAUUUCAUGUGAAACUCCUUCGACGAGUCGAGUUGUUUGGGAAUGCAGCUCAAAAUGGGUGGUAAAUUUCAUCUAAAGCUAAAUACUGGCCAGAGACCGAUAGCGCACAAGUAGAGUGAUCGAAAGAUGAAAAGCACUUUGGAAAGAGAGUUAAACAGUACGUGAAAUUGUUGAAAGGGAAGCGCUUGCAAUCAGACUUGCAUGCAGUUGAUCAUCCGAUGUUCUCACCGGUGCACUCAGUUGUAUACAGGCCAGCAUCGGUUUUGGUGGUUAGAUAAAGGCCUAAGGAAUGUAGCUUCUUUCGGGGAGUGUUAUAGCCUUGGGUGUAAUGUAGCCUACCGGGACCGAGGACCGCGCUUCGGCUAGGAUGCUGGCGUAAUGGUUGUAAGCGACCCGUCUUGAAACACGGACC
rnacentral:rRNA from 1 species